rnacentral:rRNA from 1 species
GAGUUACGAUAAGUAACGAGGUUUAGCACUUAUAUAGAGGAGCCGUAGCGAAAGCGAGAUUUAACUGAGCGUUCAGUUGAUUGACGUAGACCAGAAACCGGGCGAAAUAACCUUGAGCCGGAUGAACCGCAAGUAAAAUUUCGUGGAGUUCCGAACCGACGAGCUUUGAAAAGCGCGGAGAAGAAUUGUGAGUAGCGGUUAUAUUCCAAACGAGCCCGGAGUGUGCUUGUUCACCUCG